AGAGACUGCGCCUGCGCGGGCACGGGACAACCUCUCCGCGAUGACUGCCAGCUCAGUGGAGCAGCUGCGGAAAGAGGGCAAUGAGCUGUUCAAAUGUGGAGACUACGGGGGCGCCCUGGCGGCCUACACUCAGGCCUUGGGUCUGGACGCGACGCCCCAGGACCAGGCCAUUCUGCACCGGAACCGGGCCGCCUGCUACCUCAAGCUGGAAGAUUACGACAAAGCAGAAACAGAGGCAUCCAAAGCUACCCUCACCUUUUCUGAGGCUGAAGCACCGAGCCCCACAUUCGUCCCCCCACCUUCUUCUGGCCUUCCCUCGAGAUCUUUCCCUACUGCUCUUGCCUGGAGACGGUGGCCUCAUGGGUGCUGACAGCGCUCCUGUUUGUGCUCAGCCAUUGAAAAGGAUGGUGGGGAUGUCAAAGCACUCUACCGGCGGAGCCAAGCCCUAGAGAAGCUGGGCCGCCUGGACCAGGCUGUCCUUGACCUGCAGAGAUGUGUGAGCUUGGAGCCCAAGAACAAAGUUUUCCAGGAGGCCUUGCGGAACAUCGGGGGCCAGAUUCAGG
rnacentral:sRNA from 1 species